rnacentral:rRNA from 1 species
AACGUAGGAGGCGAGCGUUAUCCGGAUUUACUGGGCGUAAAGCGCGCGCAGGCGGCUUCGUGAGUCGGAUGUGAAAGCUCCUGGCUUAACUGGGAGAGGCCAUUCGAUACUGCGGGGCUUGAGGUUGGGAGAGGGGUGCGGAAUUCCCGGUGUAGUGGCGGAAUGCGUAGAGAUCGGGAGGAACACCUGUGGCGAAAGCGGCACCCUGGCCCACACCUGACGCUGAGGUGCGAAAGCGUGGGUAGCAAACAGG